AACGCAUAUGGCACCCGAGACCUCGGUCGAGGGUAUGUCUGUCUCAGAGUCGGCGUAAAAACAUCCCCAGAGGAGAGUAUCCGACGGGGGAGCUGGCCCUCUCGGGACGGUCCCCUUGGGGGGACCGUCCCGGGUCGGCUGAAGGCGAGAGACGGGGACCCGCACGCGCCGGGCAGCCACGGUUUUGGUGGGAGGACCUCGCGUCCGCAUCACGGAUCGUGCGCCCUAUAACCAAGCGUGAUGGGAGCCCGCCCUAGCAGGAAGUAACCAACCACAGUUCCGACCUGAGAUCAGGCAAGAUCACCCGCUGAACUUAA
rnacentral:misc_RNA from 1 species